rnacentral:lncRNA from 1 species
CCCGAAUGUCCAUUAUGGCCCCCACCCACCGCUCACGGGUGGGGGCCAAUAUUAUUAUUUUUUUUUAUUUUUUUUACAGUGAGUAGCCACAGGCUGCUCACUGCUUACUAGACAUGCCCCUACUCGCGGCAUAGCGAGUAGGGGCUGAAUUUACAAAUACUACCACUAAUACUAAGUUACCACUGUGUGGAGGCCAUCUUCUUGAACGUCGGGAACCAGAACCUUGUAUGGCCAGAAUGGAAUAAGAACCAGGCUCCGACAGCCUUAAUUUUCGAAGACAACUUGGAAAUAGCGGAAGAAAGAUGCAUGCCAGCCUGACAUUACAUUACAAUGAAUGUUUUUGUAAUGCUUGCCAACAGGGCCAUGUCUGGAACACCAAAUUUCCUCUCCAGACUGUAAAAAUUACAUGGACCUAAGGACCAAACUCCUGAUUCCAAUUUCCUUUUCUGAGCUCGACGGCUAUGUCACUGUCAAUCCCUCUGAAUUGAACUACCGAAAGAUCUGCUAGAUAAUUUUGCACCUCAGCAAGAUAACCGCAUACAGGCGAGAAAGAGUGCCUACUCUGGUUUUCCCCGCCGGAUGACGUAUCAAAACCUUUGGACAAGUGAUUGUAUGAAUUUUUACAGCCUUCCGAUGUAUCCACGGACUGAAGAGAUGAAGGGCGGGAAGUACAGCUUUAAACCCCAAGUCUGCGGAUUCUCCCUUAACCAUUACCACGAAACUAGAUAAGAGCAUCUGUAGUGAUCCCCAACAAGAUCUUUAGACGAAAGACAAGCCUCCUGAAAGGAACUAUCUAAUUCGAAAAACGGACCCGCUACUACCAACUCCCUUACUUCUAUGAUAGAGGCGAGAAAACCAACAAUGUGUUUGACUUGAACACGAGAUCUAGGAACUCUUUUGAAUCAGAAAUAAAAUUUAUGUAUUGCUGGUAGAAUUGUCAGCGUCAGCAAUGUUUCCCUCUGUUUGCUCCGUCUGAUCUCCCAAAAAUAUAAUCGCCAUUAUUUACACAACUUUACUUUCUUUAGAAAGUACUGCGGCCACACUCUAAUCUCCUGUUUCAAUUUAUGGGAAUUUGCUCAGUAUAUUCUUAGUCUCUGAAUUGUGAUAAGAUUUCUUCAAGUGAGACCCAAACAGUUUCUGCUUACCCAAGGGAAGCUCACAAAGGACCGAUUUUGAUGCGGUAUCAGUCAUCUAUGAUCGCAACCAUAAACUACCAAACAUCCACAAUCAUAAAGAGAAAAAGGGAUUUUCCUUUGACAACUGCAAAUUCUUGGAGCAGAGAUUAAUCCUGUCUCCAGGAAUUAUGUUCUGCAGUGCGUUGAGCAAAAAAAGGAAAAAAACAAACAAAAAAACAAUAUCUCCGGUUAUGGCAGCUCCUGCUAGUAAAGCUGUCUGAUAGGUUUGCUCUGAAAUCACAUACCUUGUGGUUGUCUCAUAACCGUCCAUAAUGCCCUGAGAUAUCAAUCACAUAUACUGAAUCUGUUCAUACAGAAAACAUACCUAGACAAUAUAUGCUAUAUACCAAGGUUACGCAGCUCCUGUGGAUACAUAUACCGAGGCGGCGUCCUCACAGAAGCUCAUUUAUAGAGCCUAAUAAGGAUACAUAAACUGAGGCAGUAACCUCCUGGUAACUCAUCCAUAGAGCAUUUGGUGAAGACAUAUACUGAGGCCCGGUCUUCCCAGGACCUCAUACAUAAAGCAUAUAGAGGAUACAGAGUAUAUAGUGGAUACAUAUACAGAGGCUGAGUCCUCGUAAUACUCAUAGCAAAUAGUAGAUAAAUAUACUGAGUCCUCACAGUAACUCCUAAAUAGAGCAUUUACGGAGGAUGAGUCCUCAGAACUCAUACAUAGUGCAUUGUGCAUAUAAUGAAUACAAAUACUGAAGUAGAGUCCACACUACAACUCGUCAUAGAGCAUAUAGUGGGUAAAUCUACUGAGGCUGAGUCCUCAUAGAAACUAUACAUAGCGCAUUAAGUGGAUACAUAUCAAGGCGUCAUAGAACAUAUAGUGGAUAUAUCUAUAGAGGUUUUGUCCUCAUAAAAACUCAUACAAAGAGCCUAUAGUGUGUACACAUACUGAGGCUGAGCCCUCAUAGAAACUUUGCACAGAGCAUAUAGUGGAUACAUAUACUGAAGCGGAGUCUUCCCAGCCACCCGUCAGAGCAUAUAGUGGGUACAUUUACUGCUCACAGCAACUCGUCAUAGAGCAUAUAGUGGGUACAUUUACUGCUCACAGCAACUCGUCAUAGAGCAUAAAGUGGGUACAUUUACUGUUCACAGCAACUCGUCAGAGCAUAUACUGGGUACAUUUACUGUUCACAGCAACUCGUCAUAGAGCAUAUAGUGGGUACAUAUACUGCUCAUAGUAACUCAUCAUAGAGCAUAUAGUGGGUACAUAUACUGCUCAUAGUAACUCAUCAUAGAGCAUAUAGUGGGUACAUAUACUGCUCAUAGUAACUCGUCAUAGAGCAUAUAGUGGGUACAUAUAUUGCUCCCAGUAACUCGUCAUAGAGCAUAUAGUGGGCACAUAUAUUGCUCCCAGUAAUUCUUCAUAGAGCAUAUAGUGAGCACAAGUACUGCUCACAGUAAUUCGGCAUAGAGCAUAUAGUGGGUAUAUACACUGCUCACAGUACUCAUACAUAGAGCAUAUAGUGGACACACACUGUGUCUUUUGCAGGAGAUAUCAGCCAUAUGUCCAUAGGGAUUAAAUGCUGAAACUUUCACUAUAGGGAAAGUGGUCCAAAACAUUACUCAUCCUGAAAUAAAAGCUUGUUUCCACUCUUCGUCCUCUUCUUUUCCUCGUAGCUUCAUACUCCUUGUAAAUUAAGUGUAUAAACUAUUACAGAGAUCAUUUUGAAGGAAAGAUUAAUUGAUCUUACCUCAAAAUGCCUCUGAGCCGUGUGGGGGGCUGGUGACACGGCGUACCACUUCUGGCAAGCAUCCAUGCUGUCAGUGGGUACUGCACAGCUUCAUCUACGCCGAGCAUCAAAUUUCGCGGCUUUUUUUUUUUUUUUAAAUUAAGUUUUGGUAUGCGCAUUUGCUC